GCUGCGCUAUGAACCCGGCGACACGGGUUCGAUUUCCGCUCACGGCCAACACCGGUGACGAUUAUCUGAACCGGUCCUGGGCCUCCCCUAGGUCGACUCAGCCUCAAAUGAGAACCUGGUGCGGUGUGUAAACAUCGCCACUGGGGAGACAAAGGCGGUCGGGCGUGGUGCUGGCCACCAACUCCCUCUUGUGCCGUGCCGGCCUUCAUAGGUGCUCGCUAACAGUACUUGCCCCUGCAGUCUGUUCAGGUUAUACGGGGAACGCUUUGUCCUUUGUUUACGUUGCGCGCAUGGAAAACGAAAGUUUAAAAUGAAAUGUUUAACAACGAUGAACGACGUCUGGAACAACAACGACCACAACAGAGCGGCAUAAUGCCCAUGCAUAGCGAUCGAGUUUCAAGUGCAUUUCGUUCCGCCAGGCGCGACAGGCGGAGAGAAGUGGAGACGGGGAGCGACAAGCCGCCAACGCUCUGGAAAGAGGACGGCGAUGACGAUGAUCGCCAAGGCAGCCACCCAGCCAAGAUCUGAACUUGCAGCCUCCUGGUCGCGACCCAGCCCGCUCGCCUGUUGCGCCACGUGGUCUAAACUCCCACGCACCACCCCCGCACUGCCGUGGUCAAGCGGCUCGCUGUCAAUUUCAACGAUCGUUGCCGAGUUUCCGUCCAGUGGUAGCGCACGGCGGUGGGGAUGGGAAUGUUCAGCAACUGCAGAGUCGACAGGGCUCGAUUAUUGCAACUCGCUACUCUCCAGGACGUCUGGCAAAAGAAAAAAAACAUUACCAAAGCUGCAGCGCCUACAAAACCCGAUGGCACGUGUUGUGACGGAUUCUGCAAGAUAUGACCUUGUCUGUCCGGUGCUCGCCGAGCCGCAAUGACUUCCGGUUGCCGAACGCAUGCACUCUUCUAAGGUAUCACACUCAUUACACACGCAAAGUGAUUGCCACAAAUUAACCACAAUGCCUUGCUGAUCUCGUCAAGGAGCGUCAAGCAUCACGCGAUCUCCGGUCAUCCUCGCAGCAGAUUUUGGCUCGCCGUCAAUCAAAGGCGGUCACCGCAUCGCGCACUUUCAGACGCUCUUCCGCGGCCGUCUGGAACGCUCUUCCUUCUGAUAUUAGGAAGCUACUGGAGCUAUGCACUUUUAAAUCGAGAUUGAAAACUCAUUCAUUGAUAACUGAUUUUUGUGUUUCGUUUGUUGUUCUUCCCCCGCAACUCCGAAUAGCACGGUUCGCUACGUACAGUGCAAAAGAAGUUCAACAUACACACAUUCCCAAGGCUUCGAUAAAAUUAGUACCACAUUGUUGGAGAGUCAGCAGUGUUGUCCCAUACAAAUGUGCCCUCAUAAUCAUCAUCAUCAUCAUCCAUGAUCAUUCCACUGCUGGAAAACGGCCUCCCCAAGUCGUCGCCAUCUCUCAGUUCUGCUCCGUAAGUUCACUUAGCGCCUGUACACGAGCUGAUUUCAUCACUCCACCUCCUCAGUCGAUGUCCUCUCAUACGCAUUCCAUCCCUUAGCUGUCACUCUGCAACUAAUCUUGACCAAUGGCCAUCGCCUCGUCUCGUGCGCACGGCCUGCAAGUCUCUGUGCGUUUCCCUUUCAUACCUCCCGUGUACAUUCCAAGCUUUUGUUUCACAGGAAUUUGGAACGUCCCACCACGGUAUCAGAGCAUCCAACGCGGAAGAGUGUAGCCGAGGCCAUUCAUCAUUUUGCUCCCCCACCCCUCUUUCUGUGAGUUUAUUUAAAAGGACGAGCAGCCCCGCCGUGGUCUUCAUCAGCUUGGACAGCACGUAGCUCCAGAUCCAACGCCGUGGAGUUCCGGGC